GAUGAACGCUAGCUACAGGCUUAACACAUGCAAGUCGAGGGGUAACGAGAGGAAAGCUUGCUUUCCUUGUCGACGACCGGCGCACGGGUGAGUAGCGCGUAUCCAACCUGCCCCCAACUAGGGAAUAACCUUGCGAAAGUAAGACUAAUACCCUAUAAUUUCCUCAGAUGCCAUCUGACGAGGAAUAAAGAUUUAUCGGUUGUGGAUGGGGAUGCGUCUGAUUAGCUUGUUGGCGGGGUAACGGCCCACCAAGGCAACGAUCAGCAGGGGUUCUGAGAGGAAGGUCCCCCACAUUGGAACUGAGACACGGUCCAAACUCCUACGGGAGGCAGCAGUGAGGAAUAUUGGUCAAUGGGCGGAAGCCUGAACCAGCCAAGUAGCGUGCAGGAUGACGGCCCUAUGGGUUGUAAACUGCUUUUAUACAGGAAUAAAGUUAGCCACGUGUGGUUAUUUGUAGGUACUGUAUGAAUAAGGACCGGCUAAUUCCGUGCCAGCAGCCGCCGUAA
rnacentral:rRNA from 1 species